AAGAACUUCCCUUCUAUUCAGUAUGGAAAAAAAUCAGUAGAUUGUAUUUUAUCUAAUCACCUUAUUUAUCUUUUCACGUGAUAUAGUGACGGGACGAUCGAAGUGUCAUACUAUCGACGAUUGUGAUUCUAAUGAGUGUCAGUGGGGGAUUGCCGUUCAGAGUCCCAUAUGUCGUGAUGGGGAAUGUUUUUGUGUUAGUCCCGGAACAUACUCUGGUUAUCAACAAGGAAAUGGAUUUGGUCACAAAGUUAACUCAUAGGAGUCUUCCUAGUUGUUUAAAUCUAUUGGAGUAUUCAGUAUGUGAAUCUAAUUCCUAAUAUCGGCUCAUGUAAAUGUUAUACUAUGUUUUAAGGAGUAUUACACUA